AUGGUAGGACUUCACUUCCUGGCUCACCUGUAGCUGAAUGGGGCCUGUGACUACUUUUAGCCAUCAAAUUAUGACUUCUGGGCUGAAGCAUUUAAUCAUCCGGUACAAGAUCCUCCAGAAAUCUGUUUUCCUCUGGCAUGGCAGCACCAAUAUUUAAGGUUAUGUUUGCUCCAUCAGCCUGGGUCCCUGAAUAACCACGUGGAGCAGAGGUUCUUUCCUGGCACGAACUGGACAUAUAACUGAUCAGUGAAAAGUAGCUGUACGACCUCACUGAAAUGCAAAGAGCUGCGGGAUGUAGUCUAACUCUGCCCAGAAGAAGAGGGAAAUGUGGAUAUUGCCUUCAGGGCUGCUUACAGAUAUCCAGUUCUCUCUUCCUGAAUACAUGACAGGAUGGCACUUUGGGGUCCCGUCUGCUUCCUGGAGACCAGGGGCCCACGUCUCAGCGUUGCCCCGAUGGCCAAAGCAGGACUGAGUCCUAGACUCUAAUAGGGUGAGGCUUCUUUGUGUCA